rnacentral:rRNA from 1 species
GACGAACCGUGCAAACGUUAUUCGGAAUCACUGGGCUUAGAGGGCGCGUAGGCGGACAGGUAAGUCAGGGGUGAAAGCCCACGGCUCAACCGUGGAAGGGCCUUUGAUACUGCCUGUCUUGAGGGAGGUAGGGGCGUGCGGAACUUCCGGUGGAGCGGUGAAAUGCGUAGAUAUCGGAAGGAACACCGGUGGCGAAAGCGGCGCGCUGGAUCUCUACUGACGCUGAGGCGCGAAAGCCAGGGGAGCAAACGGG